rnacentral:rRNA from 1 species
CUUGAAUUCGUAUGGUUUGAUCCUGGCUCAGGAUGAACGCUAGCGGCAGGCCUAAUACAUGCAAGUCGAACGGUAACAGGUGUAGCAAUACAUGCUGACGAGUGGCGCACGGGUGCGUAACGCGUAUGCAACUUACCUUCAACAGGAGGAUAGCCCCUCGAAAGAGGGAUUAAUACUCCAUAAUAUUAUGGUGUGGCAUCACAUUAUAAUUAAAGCUCCGGCGGUUGAAGAUGGGCAUGCGUGACAUUAGCUAGUUGGUGAGGUAACGGCUCACCAAGGCUACGAUGUCUAGGGGAUCUGAGAGGACUAACCCCCACACUGGUACUGAGACACGGACCAGACUCCUACGGGAGGCAGCAGUAAGGAAUAUUGGUCAAUGGACGCAAGUCUGAACCAGCCAUGCCGCGUGAAGGAUGACGGCCCUAUGGGUUGUAAACUUCUUUUGUACGGGAAAAAACCCUCGUUCGUGAACGAGGCUGAUGGUACCGUAAGAAUAAGGAUCGGCUAACUCCGUGCCAGCAGCCGCGGUAAUACGGAGGAUCCAAGCGUUAUCCGGAUUCAUUGGGUUUAAAGGGUGCGUAGGCGGAAUAGUAAGUCAGCGGUGAAAUCCUACAGCUUAACUGUAGAACUGCCGUUGAUACUGCUAAUCUUGAGUACAGAUGAUGUGGGCGGAAUGUGUCGUGUAGCGGUGAAAUGCUUAGAUAUGACACAGAACACCGAUUGCGAAGGCAGCUCACAAAACUGUAACUGACGCUGAGGCACGAAAGCGUGGGGAUCGAACAGGAUUAGAUACCCUGGUAGUCCACGCCGUAAACGUUGAUAACUCGAUGUUGGCGAUACACUGUCAGCGUCCAAGCGAAAGCGAUAAGUUAUCCACCUGGGGAGUACGGUCGCAAGAUUGAAACUCAAAGGA